GCCUGGGUGGCUCAGUCGGUUGAGCGUCUGACUUCGGCCCAGGUCAUGAUCUCACAGUUGGUGAGUUCAAGCCCCACGUCGGGCU
rfam:Felis catus isolate Cinnamon breed Abyssinian chromosome D4, whole genome shotgun sequence.